rnacentral:rRNA from 1 species
CAGCUUGCAAUGUAAGUUUGAUUGAACGUGACAUACCCAGAGAGGGUGAAAGGCCCGUUACUUGCAUGACUGGCAUUCAUACGGCGGCGUUAGAGUAGAAUUGCUUGAGAAUGCAGUUCGAAUGUUGUGUGGCAAACCCCAUAAAAGCCUAAAUAUGGCUGCGAGACCGAUAGCGAACAAGUACCUUGAGGGAAAGUUGAAAAGCACUCUGAAAAGAGAGUUCAUAAGUGCGUGCAACUGUACUCUGCAAAGCGAAUGAUUGGGUGAUUCGAGAUACCGUCAUUCAGGUGACUCUUGGAAUUAAAACUUUCGGGAGGCACUGCAUUUGAAGGUUCUCAAAGUUGCUUGGUGUGCUUAUGGUAGCGCGUUGUUGUGUCGGAGUGGAACAUCUCAUGAUGUAUCCAUGAGCACAGCGGCGUCGGGUUGAAGCGAUUUGACUGCUACUAUCGGCACACUGCAACAAAAUGGCUAGACUUGAUGGAACCGUGUGGUGUGCAAGGGCCUGCUAGGGC